rnacentral:rRNA from 1 species
AGGAUGAACGCUAGCGGCAGGCCUAAUACAUGCAAGUCGAACGGACUCAGGGGCUUCGGUUCCUGGGUUAGUGGCGCACGGGUGCGUGACGCGUAUGCAACCUACCUUCCACAGGGGGAUAGCCCCGGGAAACCGGGAUUAAUACCGCAUAACACCGUUUGAGGGCAUCCGAAGACGGUUAAAGUUUCGGCGGUGGAAGAUGGGCAUGCGUGCCAUUAGCUAGUCGGCGGGGUAACGGCCCACCGAGGCGACGAUGGCUAGGGGUUCUGAGAGGACGGUCCCCCACACUGGUACUGAGACACGGACCAGACUCCUACGGGAGGCAGCAGUAGGGAAUAUGGGCAAUGGCCGCGAGGCUGACCCAGCCAUGCCGCGUGCAAGGAAGAAGGCCUUCUGGGUUAGUAAACUGUACUUUUAACGACGGGAAACGAAAACGCCCAGUGCGUGGGUAACUGGAACGGUACCGUGUGAAUAAGCAACCGGCUAACUCCGU